UUUUAUGGCGGCUGUGCGUGGGGCAUCUUCGGGUGCGCCGGGUCCUGUAUACCGGUCUGUCAACCCGCGCACAGCUGCCACCUGA
rnacentral:antisense_RNA from 1 species